UUCAAAACAUGGGAUUUUUUUUUUUUUAAAGAUAUGCCUUUGCUUCUGCUUCUUUGUUCACCUGGAAGGACCUUUUUUUCUAUCCAUCUCUAGGCCCUCUAUUCUAAAGGGGGCUCAGUUAAAGCCCCCCCCCAAAGACAUCUUUGGUAUCUCUUGUUAUGUACAUAAUUGCUUCAUCUUUUGCAAGUCAGUAGCAACUUUUUCCAUUAAAACUUUUUUUUUAUAUAUUUAGUCAGAGUAAAAUACACAUAUUUUACCAACUUAGACAUUUUUUUUAAUUUUUAAUUUUUUAUAAACAUAUUUUUAUCCCCAGGGGUACAGGUCUGUGAAUCACCAGGUUUACAGGUUUAGACAUUUUUUUUAAGAGUACACUUCAAAAGCGUUAAGUGUUUUCACAUUGUUGCACAGUCUCCAGAACUUCUUUUUUUUUUUUUCCAGAACUUUUUCAUCUUGCAAAACUGAAACUCUGUGCCCAUUAAGCAACACCUCGCUAUUCUACCGGCAACCACCAUCUACUUUCUGUCUUGAUGAAUCUAACUACUUUAGGGACCUCCUAUAAGUGAAAUCAUACAGUACUUAUCUUUUUGUAAUUGGCAUACUUCACUUACAAUAAUGUCCUCAAGUUAUUACAUAAAUCAGAAUUUUCUUCUUCUUUUUUUUUUUUUUUUUUAAAGUAGGCUCCACACCAAGCAUGGAGCCCAAUGCAAGGCUUGAACUCAUAACCCUGAGAUGAAGACCUGAAGUGAAAUCAAGAAUUGGACACUCAACUGACUGAGCCACCCAGGCACUCUGGAGUUUCCUUCCUUUUUAAGGAAUACUAACUUGAUUCUGUUUUUCAAAAGGGAAUGUAUAACAUGCAGUCUUAUUUUUAAGUGACAUAUGCACAUUAUAUCUCUUCUAUAGAAUUUUAGAUCUUUUGAGGACAGGGUCUGAGUCUCCACACAGUUGAGUCCCACUGUACCUAUCGGCUCUGUGCUUGGCAGCGAAUCUGUGCUAACUGAAUGUUUGUUGAGAAGAUCAAAGGACAAAUGUUGACAUAUUGCCUUAGGUGGGCUCUUCUAGACCUCCUGGUUUUUCCAUAACCACACCCCCCAAAAGACUCAACAAUUGUUUAAACCAAUCCACAUCAUCAAGUUGAGGGGAGCAGAAACGGAUUGGCAUCAGCCAUUUUGAGAUGAUCUUACCCCACAGCCUUGAAUCAGUCCUGUGUUUUCUCCUGGCUUGAGUCUUCUACUUCCUUCUGGGAGACAUCUCCUUUGGGACAGGAAAUUGUGUCCAAUCUUAAAAGAACAGAAAGAUGGCAUAAGAAGGAGUAAGGAGAGCAGGGGAUGGGGUUUAAAUAAGAAUAGAAGCUGAUAAUUAGAUUGAGAUUUUCCAUCCUGUUUGCUCUCUCAUUGUGUUAUCACUUUUAAUAUGUAUCUUCUGAUAAAGAUGGGGUGGUAACGGGGGGCAGGGGGCUAUGGAGGUCUUGUUAUUACUCAUACUAAACAUUUUUUCCCACCCUUUGCCCCAGGUUGUCCC
rnacentral:lncRNA from 1 species